UUAGUUUUAUUUAUCAAAAAAUGAAAAGAAAUUUAAAAACAAAAUAAUUGGUUUUUAAAGACAACAGUAGUAAGCAUGAAAUGCAUUUUGUGUUUGGCAGGAAACAAUUGAAUCUUUAAGAAACCAUGCAAAGUACCAGAGAAGGAUGUUUGACCAAGCUGUUCAAUUAGUUCGACCAGAGGAGUAAUUGUCUACUCCACUUGUACGAUUAAUCCCGGGAGAAUGAAGCAUUAGUUCGAUAUGCUUUGGAUAAAUACAAAUAUCUGUCAUUGGCACCGCAGCAUCCAAGAAUUGGGGGACCGGGUCUAGUUGGUAGCUGUGAAUUUCCGGAUGGAUAUGUAGAGGAGUGGUUACGACCUGGGGAGGAAGAGCUUGUUCAGAGGUUUGAUCCAUCAUCCUCCCCUUGAUACAAUUGGAUUUUUCAU